AUUCGAGCUUUAUUUUUGUUGCUUUCGCUUUGUGUUGAGAUUUUUUUUUGUAGUCUUUUUUGGUGGGGGGGGGGGCUUUCCUUUUUCACCAAUAAUUAUCAAAGACCCAUGCUUCACGGAGUAAUUCUGCGGAUUCUAACUCAGAACUAUAAUUUGAGUAACCACAAAGUGUUAACGAGAUCUUGCAAUCAUCUCCCUGCCUAUUGUCGGUACAAAAAAACAAACAUUAACCGAUCAUCCUACUUCAUUAGGUUGUAUGAUUAGAUUACCAAAGAAUUAUGUGGUGUUAGCAGGAGGGAGAGGGGGGUAAAACACCGAGUGGAUACUGUUGCGGAAUUCUGAUACCUUUAAGGACUAGUCAUCGUUGGUGUGGAGGAGAACGGUACCAAUGACCGUUUUCAGGAUCUCUGAGACUGAAAAGAGAGAUCAAUGGAGUUGUCCCCUCAAAUAGAUCUGGCCUGCAUACUUAUAACAGAACGGACCCUACUAAGGGUACAGAAGGAUCAGGUGGUCGUGUUGAAUUGGUCAAUGGAUUAAGUGUGCCACUCCAAGAACAGCGGAUGAUCUCUAUGGUGGUGAUGGUGGUGGUGGGUGUUUUCUUCAGAGAUUUCGUUGACCAAAUUUCACUCAUAAGGCUUUGAUUGAGCCACAGCUAUGUAUGAUUCCUCAAGAUACCACGCAAUUGGAUCGAACCUAAAAACUUUGCAGCCAUGAAACAAAAAUUCUUAGCCAUACAGCCAUACAGCCAUACCUGCAGCUAUGUUGAAUACAUUGAGCGACAUCGAACUAAAUUGGAUUGUAGGCGACAGAAUCGAUAGAGCGUCUGACAAAAUGCUUUGCGUACCGGAACACACCGCCAGGAAUUUUAUCCGAUGCUCUAGCGAUUCUGCUAGGUUUACAUAAAAUAUUCCGCAACAACAACAACAAUGACGACAGCAACAAUAAGAGAAGCAGCAGCAGCAGCAAUCCUGCGGAUCCUGAUUACUCCACUCCGAAGAAAUUUAUCAAUGUUCAUAAAUUUACCAGUUUAAGCCAACGAAAACAUGGGAUAAAGAUAAAUUUUAUCCAUAAAAAUUAAGUAUUGCACUUCCUGCACUUUACUGCACUCUACCUGAACAUGGAGAUGCUUGAUAACACCACGAUGUCAAAGGUUGUCCAUUUUCUCGAUAAAUCGCUAAUAGUUACUUUGAAGUCUUCUUUGAACAGUCGGACAUCAGUUUACCUGGAUAGAAAUAAUGCAGUUAUUAACAAGAGUACUCAGAGAGCGCAACCAUCCGCCAAGGCAACAUCAACGUCCUCUCAACGAUUAGCCAGAGAUGAUUUUUAAAAUGAGACGAUCUGAAAUAAACUCGACUGCUCUCAUAAACGAGAAUACUAAAUAUGAACCCGAGCGCUCUCAAAAAAUUAAAUAAAAAGAAACGGAAAAAUAAUACAGAAUCCUUGUCUGGUACCGGAUCGAUCCCAAAAUCUAAUCAGUUUGUGCUAGUCACGUGGCCAAACAUCCCUGAAAGUUUCAUCCGAAUCCAUCCAAUGGGUCUUGAGGUCCACGGACAAAGAAACAAACACGACUGAAAACAAUACCUCUGCCUUUGCUAAGGCGAAGGUAAUAAGAAGCGUAGAAAUUUUAGGCAGGCAACAUUUCACAGUUCUAGCAUCACUCCUUUAUAAUCGGCCUUAGAGCUUUUCUGACAACCCUCAUAUCUGUACUGCCUUAUAGUCUUGUGGGUGAGUCUACGAAGACAAAAACUAGUGGGGUACAUGCCCAGAAAAGAAGGAAGCUGUGAAGAUCAGUUUUAACCCAUUCAUUACUCUAUUUUUAAUGAAAUAAACUAACUUUGUUACGAUUAAUUUUGAAAAUAAUGAAGAAUUUAGUAAGAUAACUUAGUCAUUACUAAGCUGGUAUUUUGAACAUAAACUGAUAUGAAAUUUUUAUAGGUUUUAAUUUAGAUCACAUUAAAACAAGAAGCUUGUGUCAUAGGACCAGGAAAGGUUUCAGAGAUGGGUUGGUAUCAAGAGGGUUAAGAUGGUUUUCAACAUACUAGAUUCUAGCAGCUUCCUGCGACUGAGAGAAAGUAUCAGUUGUCUUCGAUGUCCAUUGCCAUUAGAUCUAUCCCUUUCACAGCAAAGGAAGUGGGAAAUGUGCACUGCCUAUGCCAUUAUAAAGCUUCAUUGCUGGGGCCUAUUCUCCUUCAAAGUGAUUCAUGCGAUGAUAAACGUUGUCGUUGCCGCGGCGGGAGCAUCAAACAAGAUUGCGACAGAUAAACUGUUCUUAUGUUCUUACUAUUGCCCAUAAAAGCCAAACACUGACAUGCACACGCGCGCGCACGCACACGCACACCCACACACACACACACACCCACACACACACACACAUACUUGCAUAUAUGUAUGAGUAUAUAUAUAUAUUUGUUGUUGUACUUGGGGAUGGUCAUGUUGCCAGUUUAGCCAAUAAA